UAAGAAUUGAGAAGAUAACAAGUGGUUUAUGCUUAGAUUGAUUCACGAAUCUUGUGGUUACCUUUUUUAAUAACAACGACAAAUAUCUCUGCAAUCACACACACAAAGCAACAUGAUCCUUUACGCUUCUCCACCAAGCUCAAUCAUCUUCUCCAAACGCAAUGCGCCUCAACAAGCCACGCCAAGAACGCCAUCGCCCUCCAACUGUGCGCGCCAGAGCAGUCAAGAAGCGCCAAAUGGAGCCAAUCCGAAGCCACUAUCACCAUUCCCACGCUUGUUUUGCCACAACCGCUGUUCUUGCAUAUGCGGAAGGAGGCUUUUCAUUGAAGCAGCAGCGACUUCUCUGUUCCCUCUAAGUUCUUCAAUGGCUUCUUCUAAUUCAUCCUCUGAUUACACAGCUAUAUUGAACAGGGUUCAUCCUCCUAAGCCAGAUUGGUACGAGGAUUUCUACGCGUCUGUUCUAGCUAAUGGCAUGAAAUUGUACGAAGCGGAGAUUGCCGAUUACAAGUCCCAGAUGUUUGCCACUUUAAGAGGGAAAGCCCAGAAAGUCCUGGAGAUCGGAAUUGGCGCGGGUCCUAACCUUAAAUAUUACGCUGGUGAAGAAGGUAUGAAGGUUUAUGGUGUGGAUCCAAACCCCAAGAUGGAGAAAUAUGCUCGCGAAGCAGCACAGAAUGCUGGUCUGCCAGCUGAUAACUUUGAGUUUAAACAAGCGGUCGGGGAGGCUAUACCAUUACCCGAUGCUUCUGUCGAUGUUGUCGUUGGAACACUCGUCUUAUGUUCUGUGUCGAAUGUCGACAUGACUCUAAAGGAGGUGAAGAGGGUUCUGAGACCCAAUGGACUAUACAUAUUCGUCGAACACGUGGCUGCAGAAGAAGGAACCGUGCUUCGGUUUGUACAAGACGUGCUCGAUCCCCUACAGCAGUUAGUUUCUGAUGGAUGUCACCUCACCAGGAGGACAGGGCAGAGUAUAAGUGAAGCAGGGUUUUCAAAUGUUGAUCUAAACAUGGCUUCCUUCUCUAAUGCUGCCUUCAUAAAUCCCCAAGUUUUUGGAGUUGCUCAUAGAUGACAAGAAAUGCCCAUGAUUGAAGCAGGAGAAACACUGAUAACUCAACCAUGAGCUUGAAUAUCCACAUCUUGUUCAUCUCUUCCACCGGUCGGGUCAGGUCAGAGUAGAGACUGAGAAGCCUUCUCCAUUUCUGUUUCCGUUCUCGCCUCUUAAUUCAUUUUUUCAUAUUUG